CGCGGCCUAUCAGCUUGUUGGUGAGGUAGUGGCUCACCAAGGCGACGACGGGUAGCCGGCCUGAGAGGGCGACCGGCCACACUGGGACUGAGAUACGGCCCAGACUCCUACGGGAGGCAGCAGUGGGGAAUAUUGCGCAAUGGGCGAAAGCCUGGCGCAGCAACGCCGCGUGCGGGAUGACGGCCUUCGGGUUGUAAACCGCUUUCACCCAUGACGAAGGUUUUCUGACGGUAGUGGGAGAAGAAGCACCGGCUAACUACGUGCCAGCAGCCGCGGUGAUACGUAGGGUGCGAGCGUUGUCCGGAAUUAUUGGGCGUAAAGAGCUUGUAGGCGGUUUGUUGCGUCGGGAGUGAAAACUCAGGGCUUAACCCUGAGCCGGCUCUCGAUACGGGCAGACUUGAGGAAGGUAGGGGAGAACGGAAUUCCUGGUGGAGCGGUGGAAUGCGCAGAUAUCAGGAGGAACACCAGUGGCGAAGGCGGUUCUCUGGACCUUAUCUGACGCUGAGAAGCGAAAGCGUGGGGAGCAAACAGGCUUAGAUACCCUGGUAGUCCACGCUGUAAACGGUGGGCACUAGGUGUGGGACCCUUCCACGGGUUCCGUGCCGUAGCUAACGCAUUAAGUGCCCCGCCUGGGGAGUACGG
rnacentral:rRNA from 1 species